GCGUUAUCCGGAAUUAUUGGGCGUAACGCGUCCGCAGGCGGCCCUUCAAGUCUGCUGUUAAAACGUGGAGCUUAACUCCAUCAUGGCAGUGGAAACUGUUGGGCUUGAGUGUGGUAGGGGCAGAGGGAAUUCCGGUGUAGCGGUGAAAUGCGUAGAUAUCGGGAAGAACACCAGUGGCGAAGGCGCUCUGCUGGGCCAUAACUGACGCUCAUGGACGAAAGCCAGGGGAGCGAAAGGGAUUAGAUACCCCUGUAGUCCUGGCCGUAAACGAUGAACACUAGGUGUCGGGGGAAUCGACCCCCUCGGUGUCGUAGCCAACGCGUUAAGUGUUCCGCCUGGGGAGUACGCACGCAAGUGCGAAACUCAAAGGAAUUGACGGGGGCCCGCACAAGCGGUGGAGCAUGUGGUUUAAUUCGAAGCAACGCGCAGAACCUUACCAACCCUUGACAUCCCUAUCGCGGUUACCAGAGAUGGUUUCCUUCAGCUCGGCUGGAUAGGUGACAGGUGCUGCAUGGCU
rnacentral:rRNA from 1 species